rnacentral:rRNA from 1 species
UACGUAGGGAGCAAGCGUUGUCCGGAAUCAUUGGGCGUAAAGCGCACGUAGGCGGCCCGGUAAGUCCGUUGUGAAAGUCAAAGGCUCAACCUUUGAAAGCCGAUGGAUACUGUAGGGCUAGAGUCCGGAAGAGGCGAGUGGAAUUCCUGGUGUAGCGGUGGAAUGCGCAGAUAUCAGGAGGAACACCAAUAGCGAAGGCAGCUCGCUGGGACGGUACUGACGCUAAGGUGCGAAAGCGUGGGGAGCGAACAGGAUUAGAUACCCCCGUAGUCC